rfam:Deltaproteobacteria bacterium RBG_16_44_11 RBG_16_scaffold_4512, whole genome shotgun sequence.
UAGCCCUUUUAAUACAAUCCGGCGAGAUUGAAAAAGGAACCGGUCAUGAAGAAAAAAUUAUCUUUAUUUUAUAAAGCCUUCCUCCGCAAGGGGGGAAGGCUUUUUUAUU